CCAAACUGUUGCCUCGGCGGGAUCUCUGCCCCGGGUGCGUCGCAGCCCCGGACCAAGGCGCCCGCCGGAGGACCAACCAAAACUCUUAUUGUAUACCCCCUCGCGGGUUUUUUUUAUAAUCUGAGCCUUCUCGGCGCCUCUCGUAGGCGUUUCGAAAAUGAAUCAAAACUUUCAACAACGGAUCUCUUGGUUCUGGCAUCGAUGAAGAACGCAGCGAAAUGCGAUAAGUAAUGUGAAUUGCAGAAUUCAGUGAAUCAUCGAAUCUUUGAACGCACAUUGCGCCCGCCAGUAUUCUGGCGGGCAUGCCUGUCCGAGCGUCAUUUCAACCCUCGAACCCCUCCGGGGGGUCGGCGUUGGGGAUCGGCCCUGCCUUGGCGGUGGCCGUCUCCGAAAUACAGUGGCGGUCUCGCCGCAGCCUCUCCUGCGCAGUAGUUUGCACACUCGCAUCGGGAGCGCGGCGCGUCCACAGCCGUUAAACACCCAACUUCUGAAAUGUUGACCUCGGAUCAGGUAGGAAUACCCGCUGAACUUAAGCAUAUCAAUAAGCGGAGGAA
rnacentral:rRNA from 1 species